AUGGCGUGGGGGACAUUUUCUUGGCACACUUUGGGCCCCCUUAGUACCAAUUGAGCAACAUUUAAAUGCGAUGUGCAGCCGACAAAUCUGCAGCAACUGUGUGAUGCCAUCAUGUCCAUAUGGAGCAAAAUCUCUGAGGAAUGUUUCCAGCACCUUGUAGAAAGUCUGCCACGAAGAAUGAAGGCAAAAGAGGGUCCAACUCGGUACUAGCAAAGUGUACCUAAUAAAGGGGCCUAAAACACCGGAACCACAGAAAACAUCAAAAUCACCAAAAAAAAAACAUCAAAAGCACAGAAAACACCCAAACCAAAGAAACCUCCAAAAACACAGAAAAUACCAAAAGUACCAAAUACAUCAGAA